AGGGGCAAGCGAAGUCUGUCAAAGAGUGGAACCAUUGCGUAGUGGAGAGCACUCCCAAGACAGGCGCAGGGGAUGGUCCGAGUAUUUGUUGGAAGUGAGUAACGGCAUGGACGCUCAUCUGGAUGGGGUCUGAUAUUAUGACACCUGAAGGAAGUAAGAAGGAUCGUAUGAAAUUGAAAUUCAUCCGUGCUUGGACCAUCCUAAAGAAGAAGGUGGUAUUCUGAUCCCCUUCCUUUAACCAGUUGACUCUUGAGCGUUGUCUGAAGUAACUCUCCUCUAUGCCUCGUAGGAAGUUCCAGGUUUGUAGUGCUUGUUUCUCCAUUUCAAAG
rnacentral:lncRNA from 1 species